rnacentral:rRNA from 1 species
CCUACGGGGGGCAGCAGUGGGGAAUAUUGCACAAUGGGGGAAACCCUGAUGCAGCGACGCCGCGUGAGUGAAGAAGUAUUUCGGUAUGUAAAGCUCUAUCAGCAGGAACGAGACAAGACGGUACCUGACUAAGAAGCCCCGGCUAACUACGUGCCAGCAGCCGCGGUAAUACGUAGGGGGCAAGCGUUAUCCGGAAUCACUGGGUGUAAAGUGAGCGUAGACGGCUGUGCAAGCCUGAAGUGAAAGGAGGGGGCCCAACCCCUGGACUGCUUUGGGAACUGUACGGCUGGAGUGCAGGAGAGGUAAGUGGAAUUCCUGGUGUAGCGGUGAAAUGCGUAGAGAUUAGGAGGAACACCAGUGGCGAAGGCGGCUUACUGGACUGUAACUGACGUUGAGGCUCGAAAGCGUGGGGAGCAAACAGGAUUAGAUACCCCAGUAGUC